rnacentral:rRNA from 1 species
CCUACGGGAGGCAGCAGUGGGGAAUAUUGGGCAAUGGGCGCAAGCCUGACCCAGCAACGCCGCGUGCAGGAAGCAGGCUUUCGGGUUGUAAACUUCUUUUAAGAGGGAAGAGCCGAAGACGGUACCUCUUGAAUAAGCCACCGCUAACUACGUGCCAGCAGCAGCGGUAAUACGUAGGUGGCAAGCGUUGUCCGGAUUUACUUGUUGUAAAGGGCGUGAAGCCGGGAAGACAAGUCAGCUGUAAAAUCCCGCGGCUCAACCGCGGAACUGCAUUUGAAACUGUUUUUCUUGAGUACCGGAGAGGUCAUAGGAAUUCCUUGGGUCGCGGUGAAAUGCGUAGAUAUAAGGAAGAACACCAGUGGCGAAGGCGGAUGACUGGACGGCAACUGACGGUGAGGCGCGAAAGCGUGGGGAGCAAACAGGAUUAGAUACCCCUGUAGUC